rnacentral:rRNA from 1 species
AACGAACGCUGGCGGCGUGCCUAACACAUGCAAGUCGAACGGAGAUAAGAAGCUUGCUUCUUAUUUUAGUGGCGCACGGGUGCGUAACGCGUAUGCAACCUACCUUAAUCAGGGGGAUAGCCUCUCGAAAGAGAGAUUAACACCGCAUAAAAUCACAGUCCGGCAUCGGAUAAUGAUCAAAUAUUUAUAGGAUUAAGAUGGGCAUGCGUGACAUUAGCUAGUUGGUAAGGUAACGGCUUACCAAGGCUACGAUGUCUAGGGGAUCUGAGAGGAUGACCCCCCACACUGGUACUGAGACACGGACCAGACUCCUACGGGAGGCAGCAGUAAGGAAUAUUGGUCAAUGGAGGCAACUCUGAACCAGCCAUGCCGCGUGCAGGAAGACGGCCCUACGGGUUGUAAACUGCUUUUAUACGGGAAUAAACCUCUUUACGUGUAAAGAGUUGAAUGUACUGUAAGAAUAAGGAUCGGCUAACUCCGUGCCAGCCGCCGCUGUAACAC